rnacentral:tRNA from 1 species
GUCAAGUUAGUUUAGUAACUAAAAUAGCAGCUUGUGGAUUUGAAGACGAAAAAAUAUUUUCACUUGAC